UCCCUCCUUUUUCCGUAUGUGUAGUGCAAAUAAUAAAAACUGGCAAUAGGUAAAGGUAAAAGCAACAUGUAAGUGUAUUGGGGGGAUAAAUUUACAAAUCAGGGAACGGGUAAUUGUGAAUAAACAGUAACUAGAUAAACAAUACAAAACAGUGAAACGGCAGCUUUAAAACAGGAGCAUGAAGCUCAGGCCCAAAAUACAAGUCACCCUGGCAAUAACAUAUAUAAACUCUCAACUGAGAAAACUCAGUUUAUCUCAUUAUGUUGUCAGCACGUCUGUGGCGGCGGUGAAGUCCAGGACCUACACUCGUUGGGUAAUUGGAACCCGCAGAGGAGGAGCACUGGAGAGUCCCUCAGUGUCUCAGAGUGGAAGAAGCGGACCGAAACCCUCUGGUGAUGUUGUAUCCAGGAAUAGGAGCAGGGGCAGGAACAGCAUGCAUAUCCCUCCACAAAGGCAACCAGGCAAAGGACCUGCCUUGCUCUGGAAACCUGCUCAGCCAAUCUAACAAGCCCUGAGAAUGGGAGAAUUAAGAGACUUUGACACCAGCCUACAGUAGAGAACCAAUAAUGUCUGAGGAGACUGGAGAGGUAGUUGUUUACUUAGGGUUUCAUUUAUUUCUAUUGAUUUUGCUACAACACCUCAGAAAGACAGAGUGAGAUGUGAAUGGGCUAGUCUGGUGGACCAUUGUACUGUCGGAUAAUAUACCAAAAUGAGUGGGCUUUGGUUUACUGGAGGGCUAAAUUAAACAACCUAGAAAAGAGGGAAAUGAAGACAGUGGCCACAUCUCCAACCUUCAUUUAUAUGCUUAACUUUAGGCUACCAAAUUUGAAAAUGUUAGACAUAGCUUAUAAAAUAUCUGUGGCUUGGUAUAUACAUAUUUUGACUGCCUGCCACGGCUAUUUGUUGGUAUCAGUAAUCCAGCUACUCAUUUAUUAAUAGAUUUUACCAUCCAUAUUCAUGUUAUUUAGUACCUUCCCCUGUGAAUAGACUCAAUGAUUGGGACUAAUCACAAGGGGAAAUACUACUCCGUGUGAGUAAAGAUGGCAGCGUGCAGCCCUUCAAUAUUAUGGUGAAUUAUUUUGCUCUUCAAGGAAGAAUGAAGAUCUGACCAAAGUACAGUGGAUAAGGAACUUAUCUGCCACCAAUCAGACUUUGUCAAGAUCUGAGUUGUGCUCAAAUCUAAAUGGACUGCCACACUUGACAGUGUCUGGUGUCAAAAGCUGACAAUUUAAAGAACAACUUUUCAGAGAGGAAAUGGAAAUGUUAGAAAAAUCCCCAAAAGUUUCCCAGUUUCCCCAAUGUCCUGCUUACUAUUUGAGUCUCUCCACAUAAGGUAUAACUCAUUGUGUUAGCACUGAAUCUGAUCCUUCUGCACACAGGAGGGUAGAGAUUUAAACACCAGCCAUCUGUUUGCUUGUUAAAAGGAAUGUGUUGGUCAAGCUAUUAGUGUCACUGUCACUAGGAGGUAAAAGAAUGUGAAGAAUGCUUAGAAAAAUCCAUAAAACGUAUCCUCUGUUUUUGUGUAUCCUCUGUCACAACAACAGUAAAAGAUCCCCAAAACACCACCGUAACUCUCUGCUAGCAAAUUGUUUCCUGCAUGCAGAUAAAACAAGCUGUCAUUACUCUUCUAACCUUUUAUUUCUCCAUAUCUAUCUAAAUAAAGACAUUUAUAGCCACA
rnacentral:lncRNA from 1 species